GAUCCUGACUCAGGAUGAACGCUAGCUACAGGCUUAACACAUGCAAGUCGAGGGGCAGCAUGGUCUUAGCUUGCUAAGGCCGAUGGCGACCGGCGCACGUGUGAGUAACGCGUAUCCAACCUGCCUUACACUCUUGGACAGCCUUCUGAAAGGGAGAUUAAUACAAGAUGUUAUCAUGAGUAAGCAUUUUCGCAUGAUUAAAGGUUUACCGGUGUAAGAUGGGGAUGCGUU
rnacentral:rRNA from 1 species